CAGCCGCCGCGGUAAUACAGAGGGUGCAAGCGUUAAUCGGAAUUACUGGGCGUAAAGCGCGCGUAGGUGGUUUGUUAAGUUGGAUGUGAAAUCCCCGGGCUCAACCUGGGAACUGCAUUCAAAACUGACUGACUAGAGUAUGGUAGAGGGUGGUGGAAUUUCCUGUGUAGCGGUGAAAUGCGUAGAUAUAGGAAGGAACACCAGUGGCGAAGGCGACCACCUGGACUAAUACUGACACUGAGGUGCGAAAGCGUGGGGAGCAAACAGGAUUAGAGACCCCAGUAGUCCCUGUCUCUUAUAC
rnacentral:rRNA from 1 species